ACGGCAGUGAUGAGGCUCUAACAUAUAAGUAGGAUCCCUAUGUGGGUUUCUUCAAUGAAAUACACAUGUUACGCUUGGCUUCUGAGCUUU
rfam:Medicago truncatula strain A17 chromosome 8, whole genome shotgun sequence.